rnacentral:lncRNA from 1 species
UUUUGUUCUUUCUAUGCCAUUGAAAGCUUGUAGCUGCCUGGAUGCUGAGACAGUGAUAAACUGUUAUACCAGCAUGCUAACAAAGAUGGUUUCCCUCUAGAAGCACAAGACUGAAAACAGAUUCACAUAUCUUUAGAAAUUGUCUUUGUAAUAAAACUGUUCAGGUUAGGGUGAAUUUAGUUCAGUUAGUAUUUUGUAUGUUUAAGUUAUUAAUAUACCACUUGCAGUUAWCAAGACCAGCAACUCUGAGUAGCAUAAAUGAGAAAGUUCCUUGCUUUUGUUGGUUAUUGUUGCCUCUAGAGACAUGGUUGUCAUUGGCAUGUACCCUAGACAAAGACAAGUGAAGAAACAGACACAUAUGUGAAGAUGUAUUUAAAGGUAUUUGAUAAGUAUCUUUUUUCCACAAUUGCAUGAAACUUCUGAUAAGCAACAUUUGUACAUUUAUCUCCUGUGCAUUUUUCUAGCAUCAAAUGCAACAUUGCCUUGCUCAAAGAUCAAGUCAGCCAGUUGGACUGCAAAAAGCUCUGGGGAGUAAAAAAAAAAAAUCAAUCAGUGCUGAGAAAUAAAGAAACUCUUAAAGUAAAGGUGCUCUAUCAGCUUGCAAGCAGAUCUGAAAAAAAACCAGCUCUUACAGUGCCCUGGAGCUCAGGUAUGCUUACUGUUGUUGGAGAAAAUAAACAACACAAAACUCCAGACAGUGUUACGUACAGAGCAAUAAUUAGGGGACGCAUCAAUGUGCUGUGUGCAUCCAGAAGAAAAGUUUUUAAGGUCUGUGAGUGUGCAGGAUAUCAAGGUAUGUCAUAUAAAAUCAGUCCUACUUCCUAGAGAGACAUACUUUCUGAGCUGUAUGCUAAUUAUUAUUAUUAUUGCCCAUAAUUCUGCCAAGACACAAAAGAAAAGAGUCUAACUCUGAAAGUUAGGGGGUUUCAUUCUUUUUUGAUUGUAAGUGACUGAUUGUAACUUGGGACAAAAUUUCUCUUUUAUUGUCUGUUUCCCUAUCCAGGAAACUGGGGAGGAAAGAAGAGGGGAAAAGAUAAGUCCCACCCUGAAGAAUUUGUUAUCUAAAUAGGAGCGAUAUAGUUUAGUAUAGUCAGGGAAAAGAACAGUCCAGCAGCAUUUUCGAGUCUAAAUGUAAGAAUACCAGGAACCUAACAUGCUAAUCAUUUAACAAGUUUGAACAGUUCAAUCCAUAAAAAAUACAUAAUAGAAAAAGUUGACGUGAUGUCAUCACUAAACUACUACUAGCUGAGAAAUUCUUAUGUUGUCAGUGUAUUCUUUCAGGGAAAGACCAGUUAUGUGUCCUUUUUCCUACUCAUGGAGUAAAGGGUCUAAUAACAGUGUUUUGAGUUGUGAUGCAAAGAUCUAAAUUCAAAGUAGAGAUGCUCUUAUCUUCACUUUAAAAUAUAGUUGAUAAACAUACAUUGUUUCCCUGCAUGUUAAAACAUGUCUAAGGUGUUUUAAAAGAUGACAAAAUAUUUUUGAAGAUGUUCAUGAUAAAACAUUGCAGGGAGGAAAAAAUUGUCCCUGGAAACUUACACACAGGAACAAAUCUGGAAAUUUUGAAUUGAAGCUGUGAUAUUCUUGUAUAUCAAGUAAAUGUAAUUUGCAUUAUGUGAAGAGAUGGAGAUAACUCUAAAAUUUAGCUUCAGCUUUUCUCACAGAUUUUAAAUAGUUUAAAAUUCUUAGUGUUACAAACUCAGAAUUCUUCUGCUAGAAAGGAGUACUGUACAAAAUUUGCUUUUAGACGUAUGUUUUCCAUAUCCAAAUUUGCUCAUCAGUAUUUAAAUCUCUAAUUAAAAUGUGUGUCUUGCAAGCAGAAUGGUUAAAAUGUGAUUUGCAGGUUUURUGCAUAUAUGCACAGUGUUGGUAAGGUGCAUCAUUCAUAUCACUGAAAUUAGGAGUGUAAAAGUGUAUCCACUGUAAGAACCUCUGUUUUAUUUGAGAAGUAUUUUUCUUCUGACUCAUUCAGAACUUGUAUUGGCAUCAAAUGCAGUGAAAUAAUCAAAACUAUAUUGGUUAUAAGAUUACAAGGUUAUAACUUCAGCUGACGGACCUGCGGUGGGGGCUUCCAGAUAGUGUCAGCAAUGAUCAUUACAUUUUUACUACAUCUGAAAACUUGGAAGAAGUGUCAGGAAAUGGCACAUAAAACAUUUUUUGUGAGGCUUUUGGGUUCUUUUUAAUUUAAUUUUGAGAUUUAUUUUAGAUUUUUUUUUGUGAGGGAACAAUAAGUGUAUUACUGGUUUUACCACAUAAAGAAAGUAUAUAUAAUAAACCUAGACUGUGAAAGAAGAAGGGACA